rnacentral:rRNA from 1 species
UUUUCAUCAGACAAUCUGUGUGAGCACUNNNNNNNNNNNNNNNNNNNNUUCUUUAAGGUAAGGAGGUGAUCCAACCGCAGGUUCCCCUACGGUUACCUUGUUACGACUUCACCCCAGUCAUGAAUCACAAAGUGGUAAGCGCCCUCCCGAAGGUUAAGCUACCUACUUCUUUUGCAACCCACUCCCAUGGUGUGACGGGCGGUGUGUACAAGGCCCGGGAACGUAUUCACCGUGGCAUUCUGAUCCACGAUUACUAGCGAUUCCGACUUCAUGGAGUCGAGUUGCAGACUCCAAUCCGGACUACGACGCACUUUAUGAGGUCCGCUUGCUCUCGCGAGGUCGCUUCUCUUUGUAUGCGCCAUUGUAGCACGUGUGUAGCCCUGGUCGUAAGGGCCAUGAUGACUUGACGUCAUCCCCACCUUCCUCCAGUUUAUCACUGGCAGUCUCCUUUGAGUUCCCGGCCGGACCGCUGGCAACAAAGGAUAAGGGUUGCGCUCGUUGCGGGACUUAACCCAACAUUUCACAACACGAGCUGACGACAGCCAUGCAGCACCUGUCUCACGGUUCCCGAAGGCACAUUCUCAUCUCUGAAAACUUCCGUGGAUGUCAAGACCAGGUAAGGUUCUUCGCGUUGCAUCGAAUUAAACCACAUGCUCCACCGCUUGUGCGGGCCCCCGUCAAUUCAUUUGAGUUUUAACCUUGCGGCCGUACUCCCCAGGCGGUCUACUUAACGCGUUAGCUCCGGAAGCCACGCCUCAAGGGCACAACCUCCAAGUAGACAUCGUUUACGGCGUGGACUACCAGGGUAUCUAAUCCUGUUUGCUCCCCACGCUUUCGCACCUGAGCGUCAGUCUUUGUCCAGGGGGCCGCCUUCGCCACCGGUAUUCCUCCAGAUCUCUACGCAUUUCACCGCUACACCUGGAAUUCUACCCCCCUCUACAAGACUCAAGCCUGCCAGUUUCGAAUGCAGUUCCCAGGUUGAGCCCGGGGAUUUCACAUCCGACUUGACAGACCGCCUGCGUGCGCUUUACGCCCAGUAAUUCCGAUUAACGCUUGCACCCUCCGUAUUACCGCGGCUGCUGGCACGGAGUUAGCCGGUGCUUCUUCUGCGGGUAACGUCAAUUGCUGCGGUUAUUAACCACAACACCUUCCUCCCCGCUGAAAGUACUUUACAACCCGAAGGCCUUCUUCAUACACGCGGCAUGGCUGCAUCAGGCUUGCGCCCAUUGUGCAAUAUUCCCCACUGCUGCCUCCCGUAGGAGUCUGGACCGUGUCUCAGUUCCAGUGUGGCUGGUCAUCCUCUCAGACCAGCUAGGGAUCGUCGCCUUGGUGAGCCGUUACCUCACCAACAAGCUAAUCCCAUCUGGGCACAUCUGAUGGCAAGAGGCCCGAAGGUCCCCCUCUUUGGUCUUGCGACGUUAUGCGGUAUUAGCCACCGUUUCCAGUAGUUAUCCCCCUCCAUCAGGCAGUUUCCCAGACAUUACUCACCCGUCCGCCACUCGUCAGCAAAGCAGCAAGCUGCUUCCUGUUACCGUUCGACUUGCAUGUGUUAGGCCUGCCGCCAGCGUUCAAUCUGAGCCAUGAUCAAACUCUUCAAUUUAAAAGUUUGAUGCUCAAUGAAUUAAACUUCGUAAUGAAUUACGUGUUCACUCUUGAGACUUGGUAUUCAUUUUUCGUC